UACGUAGGGUGCGAGCGUUAAUCGGAAUUACUGGGCGUAAAGCGUGCGCAGGCGGUUUUGUAAGCCAGGUGUGAAAUCCCCGGGCUCAACCUGGGAAUGGCAUUUGGGACUGCAAGGCUGGAGUGCGGCAGAGGAGACUGGAAUUCCUGGUGUAGCAGUGAAAUGCGUAGAUAUCAGGAGGAAUACCGAUGGCGAAGACAGGUCUCUGGGCUGCCACUGACGCUCAUGCACGAAAGCGUGGGGAGCAAACAGG
rnacentral:rRNA from 1 species